rnacentral:rRNA from 1 species
GAUGAACGCUGGCGGCGUGCCUAAUACAUGCAAGUCGAGCGAACAGACGAGGAGCUUGCUCCUCUGACGUUAGCGGCGGACGGGUGAGUAACACGUGGAUAACCUACCUAUAAGACUGGGAUAACUUCGGGAAACCGGAGCUAAUACCGGAUAAUAUAUUGAACCGCAUGGUUCAAUAGUGAAAGACGGUUUUGCUGUCACUUAUAGAUGGAUCCGCGCCGCAUUAGCUAGUGGGUAAGGUAACGGGUUACCAAGGCAACGAUGCGUAGCCGACCUGAGAGGGUGAUCGGCGACACUGGAACUGGGCCAGGGUCCAGACUCCUACGGGAGGCAGCAGUAGGGAACCUUCCGCAGUGGGCGAGAGCCUGGCGGAGCAACGCCGCGUGAGUGAUGAAGGUCUUGGGAGCGUAAAACUCUGUUAUUAGGGAAGAACAAAUGUGUAAGUAACUAUGCACGUCUUGACGGUACCUAAUCAGAAAGCCACGGCUAACUACGUG